rnacentral:rRNA from 1 species
UACGUAGGUGGCGAGCGUUAUCCGGAAUCAUUGGGCGUAAAGGGUGCGCAGGUGGUACAUUAAGUCCGAAGUAAAAGGCAGCAGCUCAACUGCUGUUGGCUUUGGAAACUGGUGAACUGGAGUGCAGGAGAGGGCGAUGGAAUUCCAUGUGUAGCGGUAAAAUGCGUAGAUAUAUGGAGGAACACCAGUGGCGAAGGCGGUCGCCUGGCCUGCAACUGACACUGAGGCACGAAAGCGUGGGGAGCAAAUAGG